rnacentral:lncRNA from 1 species
UUUUUUUUUUUUUUCUUUUUUUUUUUUAUCUUCCAUCGUUAAUUUUAAAUAUUUUGAUCAUUAGAUAAAUAAUAUUUAAAAAAUUAUAAAAUUUAUUUUUUAGAUAUUUCAAAUAUUCUAGGUCAACUCUAAUGGAGCCGAUCGUCGAUUCGAAAGUCUCAACAUUGAAAACGACUUAGAAAUAUGCAAGGCUCCGUACUUCUAAAAGCAUAUCAAUCUAUUUCUCUCUCUCUCUAUAUAUAUAUAUAUUCACACACACACAAACACACACAUUUGGUGUUUAUUAAUUUUUCGCCGUUGAUAUAUCCCUUUAAUCAUUUUCAUCAGUUGAAUUAUAAUUUUUAACCAACCACCGAUUCAACCCUAGGGGACCACUAUUAUCCUAACCGUAUAUCCCUUAAUCCAACGGCUGGAAACCUACAAGCACCAAUGACUUAAUGCUUUUAAAAAUAUAAAAGCUCAAUUCCAUAAAUAUAUAUCUAAAGAAUUAGAGCAGAAUACUAUUAAUAGCACUAAGUUAUUGGUGCUACUAUAUUUUCGGCCAUUGGAUGAAGAAAUGUACGGUUAGAAACUUAGAAUGAUAAUACUUCUCUAGAGUCGAGCAGGUGCUUGGUAGAAUAGUAUGAUCUAACGGGUAAAAAUAAUCACAGGAAUAUAUCUAAUGGUAGAAAAUUUAGUAACACUAAAGUGUUUCGUACUAUUAAUAAUAUAGCAGUCGGACUCUUUCUCUCUCUACAUACAUACAUACAUAUAUACAUACAUAUCAAGCUAAAAAGUGGGAAUUAAUCAGCACCGCCCAAAAUAAAAUAAUAAUAAUAAUAAAUGCAGAAAAUUUAUUUGAAUUAUGCAUCAUUUUGGAUUGAUUACUUAACUUUUUAAAAUUUUAAUUUUACUAUAUGUUCAUUUAAUAUGUUUGAUCCGAGUUAGUUAAUAAUAUCUUGACUUUAAAAUUUAAGCCAAUUAAUUUUUUAAUCAAUAUAUAGUGAGGGAGAAUUGUAUGAAGUAUAUAUACUAAUUAAAUCUGUAAAGAUAAAUGGCGUAUUUGAGUUUUGAAGUCAAAAUGUCGUUGGCAGGUUCGCUCUUUUGAACAAGAUUGAAUAAUUUUAUAGGAACGAUUGAUUCUUUUUCAAUAUAAUUUUACUUUUUAAAAAAAUAUUUGCUAUAAUAAACUAUAUUUAUUAUUUUUUGUACUAAACUGAUAUUUUAUUUUUUACAAAUUUUUAUUUUAACCGUAUCUAUCCGUCUUAACGU